rnacentral:rRNA from 1 species
UACGUAGGGUGCAAGCGUUGUCCGGAAUUAUUGGGCGUAAAGAGUUCGUAGGCGGUCUGUCGCGUCUGCUGUGAAAACUCGGGGCUUAACCCCGGGCCUGCAGUGGGUACGGGCAGACUAGAGUGCGGUAGGGGAGACUGGAAUUCCUGGUGUAGCGGUGAAAUGCGCAGAUAUCAGGAGGAACACCGGUGGCGAAGGCGGGUCUCUGGGCCGUAACUGACGCUGAGGAGCGAAAGCGUGGGGAGCGAACAGG